GCCCCGCUACCACCCGCCGUUCUCACUUCUCAAUCUUAACCCUAAACUGAUAGUACUCCGUAACUUCUACGCUCUCUCAAAUCACUGGUUUCAGAUCUACAUUUCUAAUAAUCUCUUUCAAUAAGUUCUCCUCUUUCUCUUCAUUUCUUUGAAAUUCACUUUUCAUCUCCUAAAAAUCCACUGAAUUUUUUAAAUUUUUUAAAUUUUUUUCCCCUUUUUUUUUUCAGGAUUCAUCGCUCUCAGAUCUCGGUUCUAUGAUUUCGUUCAACACGAUUCCGGAUACUUUGAAGGUAGUCAGGAAUUGAUGUUGUAGGGGAGGUAGUCGAGGUUGGAUCUUCGGCAACAAAGUUCAAAGCUGGUGACAAGGUUCUGACCCUGUUAAGCCAUGAUUGGAAAAAGAGACAUGACAGUUGCUAGACCAUCAGAAGUAUGAGUAGCGGAAGCUGCAGGCUUACCUCUUUAAUCUUUUGAUGUGAAACUUGGUUGAACAUGACUAGCUCUGGAACUGGAAUACUGGAUAGUGCAAAUCAAAGGAGACUCCAUGCUUUUCUAUUCAAGGUCCAGGAUGCAUUUGGAGAUAAUGGUGGUGGAAGAAAAGAAUCAAGUGGUGAUGCAUAGCUCCUUCAACUAUGAAGCUGAUAUUCUUGAACUUGUAUUGAGUGGCCUUUGUUUUAAUUUGAAGAUGACAUUUUAGAAUAAUAAGUUGGAAUUAUAAUAGUAGAUAUGGUGUUUUGGGUAUUAAAUUUGUGUUUUGGAGAUACUAGCUAGCUAAUUUAAUAGUUUGGAUAAUGUGUAAACUUAAUUUGAUGAUAUGAUUUGGAGCGAGCUAAGUACGUAUUAUUACA